rnacentral:rRNA from 1 species
CUUGCGAAAUAUAAGAGGUCUCACCUGCCCACUGAAAGUUAAAGGGCCGCGGUAUUUUGACCGUGCAAAGGUAGCAUAAUCAUUAGUCUUCUAAUUAAAGGCUGGAAUGAAUGGUUGGACGAGGUAUUAGCUGUCUCUUUGAAAUUAAUUUGAAUUUAACUUUCUAGUGAAAAGGCUGGAAUGAUAUUGGAGGACGAGAAGACCCUAUAGAGCUUUAUAGUUGAUUCUAUUUUAAUUUGUUUAGUAAGAGUUUAAUUUUGUAGGAGAAGUAUUUCGUUGGGGUGACGGGAAGAUAAGAUAAACUCUUCUUAAAGUUUGAACAUGGAUGCAUGGUUCAUUUGAUCCAUUAUUAAUGAUUAAAAGACUAAGUUACCUUAGGGAUAACAGCGUAAUCUUUUUUGAGAGUUCUAAUCGACAAAAAGGGUUGCGACCUCGAUGUUGGACUAAAGGUUAUUCUUGGGUGCAGCAGCUCAAGGUUUAGGUCUGUUCGACCUUUGAAUCUUUA